CCUACGGGAGGCAGCAGUGGGGAAUAUUGCACAAUGGGCGCAAGCCUGAUGCAGCGACGCCGCGUGAGGGAUGACGGCCUUCGGGUUGUAAACCUCUUUCAGUAGGGAAGAAGCGAAAGUGACGGUACCUGCAGAAGAAGCGCCGGCUAACUACGUGCCAGCAGCCGCGGUAAUACGUAGGGCGCAAGCGUUAUCCGGAAUUAUUGGGCGUAAAGAGCUCGUAGGCGGUUUGUCGCGUCUGCCGUGAAAGUCCGGGGCUCAACUCCGGAUCUGCGGUGGGUACGGGCAGACUAGAGUGAUGUAGGGGAGACUGGAAUUCCUGGUGUAGCGGUGAAAUGCGCAGAUAUCAGGAGGAACACCGAUGGCGAAGGCAGGUCUCUGGGCAUUAACUGACGCUGAGGAGCGAAAGCAUGGGGAGCGAACAGGAUUAGAUACCCUGGUAGUCCAUGCCGUACACGUUGGGCACUAGGUGUGGGGGACAUUCCACGUUUUCCGCGCCGUAGCUAACGCAUUAAGUGCCCCGCCUGGGGAGUACGGCCGCAAGGCUAAAACUCAAAGGAAUUGACGGGGGCCCGCACAAGCGGCGGAGCAUGCGGAUUAAUUCGAUGCAACGCGAAGAACCUUACCAAGGCUUGACAUGAACCGGUAAGACCUGGAAACAGGUCCCCCGCUUGCGGUCGGUUUACAGGUGGUGCAUGGUUGUCGUCAGCUCGUGUCGUGAGAUGUUGGGUUAAGUCCCGCAACGAGCGCAACCCUCGUUCUAUGUUGCCAGCACGUGAUGGUGGGGACUCAUAGGAGACUGCCGGGGUCAACUCGGAGGAUGUGGGGACGACGUCAAAUCAUCAUGCCCCUUAUGUCUUGGGCUUCACGCAUGCUACAAUGGCCGGUACAAAGGGUUGCGAUACUGUGAGUGGAGCUAAUCCCAAAAAGCCGGUCUUCAGUUCGGAUUGGGGUCUGCACUCGACCCAUGAGUCGGAGUCGCUAGUAAUCGCAGAUCAGCACGCCGCGGUGAAUACGUUCCCGGG
rnacentral:rRNA from 1 species